CACACACCUGUGCAGAGCCGGUGGCAAGCCCUCCCGGCACAGGAAUGGCAUGCCCCCAGCUGCUGCCCCUUCUGCUUUUGGUGCUGGUGCUGCUGCUGAAAGCUGAUGGGAAUUACAGUACUACUUCCUUUACAGUUCCGAAUCCCUGACCUUGCACUGGAGCCCCACUUCCCACAGCCCCAGAACGGAGCCCUUGACCUCCACUGACCAGAACUUGGAGCCCCCUGGCCCAGCUCCAGGUGACACUAGGCCCCGUGAGUUACACAGGAACCCGAGCGUGGUGGUGGUCGUGUGUUUGCUGGUGUCUCUUUUGCUCAUCGGGUCUGUGGUCAUGGCUGUGAGAUUUUGUCACCGGGAUGAGUCCAAGUUUGAGAACCUGGACGAGGUGUCCAUGGGAUCCGUGAAUGACAGAUUGUCCUUUGCCCACCACCUCCAGGAGUGAGCCCUGAGGAGCCAACAGAGAUGGGGGCAUGGAUGCGGCUGGGGUCCCUGGGGAGGAGCAGAACCUGAGGAAAUAAAGCCCUUACCAUUCAUCCAAGGCCUCCUGAGUUAUGGACUCGUGUGACAAACAUUAACUGAGCACCUACUAUGUGCUGGGCUCUGUGCUGGGGUC
rnacentral:sRNA from 1 species